CUUUCAAAACAGGGUGCGUCGCGGCCCCCGAGGUGCGGAAACAAGCCUCGAGCGGUUUGGGGUCCUCCCCUUCACGCGCGCACGACUGCCAUCCUUACUUUACGAGCACCUUCUGUUCUCCCUCGGCGGGGCAACCUGCCGUUGGAACCGAAUAAACUCUUUUUGCAUCUAGCAUUACCUGUUCCGAAACAAACAAUCGUUACAACUUUCAACAAUGGAUCUCUUGGCUCU
rnacentral:misc_RNA from 1 species